GAUGAACGCUGGCGGCGUGCCUAAUACAUGCAAGUCGAGCGAACAGACGAGGAGCUUGCUCCUCUGACGUUAGCGGCGGACGGGUGAGUAACACGUGGAUAACCUACCUAUAAGACUGGGAUAACUUCGGGAAACCGGAGCUAAUACCGGAUAAUAUAUUGAACCGCAUGGUUCAAUAGUGAAAGACGGUUUUGCUGUCACUUAUAGAUGGAUCCGCGCCGCAUUAGCUAGUUGGUAAGGUAACGGCUUACCAAGGCAACGAUGCGUAGCCGACCUGAGAGGGUGAUCGGCCACACUGGAACGUAGCCACGGUCCAGACUCCUACGGGAGGCAGCAGUAGGGAAUCUUCCGCAAUGGUCGAAAGCUUGACGGAGCAACGCCGCGUGAGUGAUGAAGGUCUUCGGAUCGUAAAACUCUGUUAUUAGGGAAGAACAAAUGUGUAAGUAACUAUGCACGUCUUGACGGUACCUAAUCAGAAAGCCACGGCUAACUACGUG
rnacentral:rRNA from 1 species